GUCUUCGGACUUAGCGGCGGACGGGUGAGUAACACGUAGGAACCUGCCCAGAAGUGGGGGAUAACUCCUCGAAAGAGGGGCUAAUACCGCAUACGGUCUACGGACCAAAGCAGCAAUGCGCUACUGGAGGGGCCUGCGGUGGAUUAGCUAGUUGGUGGGGUAAUGGCCUACCAAGGCGACGAUCCAUAGCUGGUCUGAGAGGAUGAUCAGCCACACUGGAACUGAGACACGGUCCAGACUCC
rnacentral:rRNA from 1 species